rnacentral:rRNA from 1 species
UACGUAGGGGGCAAGCGUUGUCCGGAAUCAUUGGGCGUAAAGAGCGCGUAGGCGGCCCUGUAAGUCCGCUGUGAAAGUCAAGGGCUCAACCCUUGGAUGCCGGUGGAUACUGCAGGGCUAGAGUCCGGAAGAGGCGAGUGGAAUUCCUGGUGUAGCGGUGAAAUGCGCAGAUAUCAGGAGGAACACCGAUGGCGAAGGCAGCUCGCUGGGACGGUGACUGACGCUGAGGCGCGAAAGCGUGGGGAGCAAACAGG